CGGGUGAGUAACACGUGGGCAACCUACCCUGAAGCGGGGGAUAACAUCUGGAAACAGGUGCUAAUACCGCAUAACAACGAAAACCACAUGGUUUUCGUUUCAAAGAUGGUUUCGGCUAUCACUUCAGGAUGGGCCCGCGGUGCAUUAGCUAGUUGGUAAGGUAAAGGCUUACCAAGGCGAUGAUGCAUAGCCGAGUUGAGAGACUGAUCGGCCACAUUGGGACUGAGACACGGCCCAAACUCCUACGGGAGGCAGCAGCC
rnacentral:rRNA from 1 species